AUAGCAUUUCUUUCUCUUCCCUUUUUCCACAGCAAACAAAGAGGACUAUGAGGAGGAAUAUGAUGACUAUUCUACACAAACACCAGACUAUGACUACACCGCCACCUUCGAUUACACCUAUUUCAGUAACACCACCGGUCAUGAGGACUAUAGUUUGUAUGUAAUUCUAGGAGAGAAGAAGAAUGUGGAGGAGAAGGAUCUUGAGAAUAAGGCUUUAGCGAUUGGCUCCCCAUGCCCAGUGUUACUCCUCGGAUUGGCUGCUCACCAACUCCAUCGAUUACUGUGAAUGAAACCGAGCACUGCAGAACAUACAGAGAUAUACAGGACCCUGAACUGAGCAGAAAGUUACCCCAUAUUCUGGAAUUGGACUGAGGAGAAAGCUACCCAAUAUUCUGGAAUUUGACCUUUUUAAGGAUCAAAUGGACACAGCAUGAGAUUCUCCACCACUGACUUUCUAUACUAUAGUUGGAAAAACCCAUAGUGACUCCUGAAUCCUAACUUAUGAAAGAAGCCCACAACUUGAAUUCAUAAACAUCUCCCAUAAUAAUAUUUGCAUUGUAUGCACGUCUCAAGUUGUAAGAUCAAAUCAAAAUCACAUUUAUUUAUAAAGCCCUUCUUACGUCAGCUGAUAUCUCAAAGUGUUGUACAGAAACCCAGCCUAAAACCCCAAACAGCAAAGCAAUGCAGGUGUAGAAGCACGGUAGGAAAAACUCCCUAGAAAGGCCAGAACCUAGGAAGAAACCUAGAGAGGAACCAGGCUAUGAUGGGUGGCCAGUCCUCUUCUGGCUGUGAUGUGUCCCCUAGAGUAAUAAUAGCACAAAGCCAAUAUACCCCACGUAUUCCAUCUUGUUUGGACUUCAUACAAACUAAUAUGUAUAUUAUACAUGCUGUUUAUCUUUUAACACAUAUUUUCCAAGUAUGUUUUGUUUCUGUUUGAUAUUCUGUUAUGAACAUAUAAUGCUUUCUACAACCAUGGUACAUGUUUUCUCUUCUUUAUGGUCAAUGGUUAAUAGUCUAAGGUUUAAUGACAUGCAGAUGUGAAAUGAGGCAACCCAUGUAUUAGUUAUAGGGUUCUAAUUUCCUUCCCUGCCCUAGAAAAGCAUUUAAAGAGAAUUAUAUGUUAACAAUAAAACAGAGAAAUCCCCAA